GCUAACACUAGCCCUAAGCACAAAAAACACUAAUAUAAGGCCAAUACACACCAAACCAUUUACCCACAUAUAGUAUAGGCGAUAGAAAUUUUAACCUGGCGCUAUAGACACAGUACCGUAAGGGAAAGAAUAGAACUAUCUAAGCACAAAACAGCAAGAACUAACCCCUGUACCUUUUGCAUAAUGAAUUAACUAGAAAUAAUUUCGCAAAGAGAACUAAAGCCAAAUCCCCCGAAACCAGACGAGCUACCCGAAAACAGCUAGAAGAGCGCACCCAUCUAUGUGGCAAAAUAGUGGGAAGAUUUACGGGUAGAGGUGACAAGCCUACCGAGCCUGGUGAUAGCUGGUUAUCCAAGAUAGAAUCUUAGUUCAACCUUGAGCUUACCUACAGAGCUACCUAAUCUCCUUGUAAACUCAAUUGUUAGUCUAAAGAGGGACAGCUCUUUAGACACUAGGAAAAAACCUUACAUAGAGAGUAAAAACCACAACUACCAUAGUUGGCCCAAAAGCAGCCAUCAAUUAAGAAAGCGUUCAAGCUCAACAUCAACCACUCGAAAAAAUCCCAAACAUAUAACUGAACUCCUCACACCACAUUGGAUUAAUCUAUCACUACAUAGAAGCAACAAUGUUAGUAUAAGUAACAUGAAUAUCUUCUCCACUGCAUAAGCCUAAAUCAGACCGAAAACUUCACCGAUACUUAACAGCCCAGUAUUAACAAACACAAACAAGCCAAUACUAUUCUCACUGUUAACCCAACACAGGCAUGCCCCAAGGAAGGUUAAAAAAAGUAAAAGGAACUCGGCAAACUUAAACCCCGCCUGUUUACCAAAAACAUCACCUCUAGCAUUACUAGUAUUAGAGGCACUGCCUGCCCAGUGACACACGUUUAACGGCCGCGGUACCCUGACCGUGCAAAGGUAGCAUAAUCACUUGUUCUUUAAAUAGGGACUCGUAUGAAUGGCAUCACGAGGGUUUAACUGUCUCUUACUUUCAACCAGUGAAAUUGACCUGUCCGUGAAGAGACGGACAUGAAACAAUAAGACGAGAAGACCCUGUGGAGCUUCAAUUUAUUAGUACAACUAAAAACAACACAAACCAACAGGCCCUAAACCCCUACAUCUGUGCUAAAAAUUUUGGUUGGGGCGACCUCGGAGCACAACCAAACCUCCGAAUAAUCCACGCUAAGACUAUACAAGUCAAAGCAAACUAACACUUACAAUUGACCCAAUAAUUUGAUCAACGGAACAAGUUACCCCAGGGAUAACAGCGCAAUUCUAUUCUAGAGUCCAUAUCAACAAUAGAGUUUACGACCUCGAUGUUGGAUCAGGAUAUCCUAAUGGUGCAGCAGCUAUCAAGGGUUCGUUUGUUCAACGAUUAAAAUCCUACGUGAUCUGAGUUCAGACCGGAGCAAUCCAGGUCGGUUUCUAUCUAUUCUACAUUUCUCCCUGUACGAAAGGACAAGAGAAAUAAGGCCCACUUCACAACAGCGCCCUCACUACAUAAAUGAUUUAAUCUUAAUUUAACAGAACACCACAUACCCCACCCAAGAGCAGGGUUU
rnacentral:rRNA from 1 species